rnacentral:lncRNA from 1 species
CUUACUCUAUCGUGUAAUAGUUCCCGUUUUUUCUUUGUGUAAGAAAACACCUUUUGUUCGAAUCAUACAAUUUUAAUAUAUUUUUUAAAUGUAACUUUGAUCCUACAUAAACUCUUAAUUAAUAUAUAAUUAUAUGUUCACAACUCAUCGGUGAAAUAUUCCUACAACUAGUUUUAUCAUCAUUAUACCUUAUAAUUUUUCCUUUACGUGUGAUGAAAGGAUAAAAUAGAAAUAAUAAUGAAGAAUUUGUACAAAAAACUAACGAGCUCUAACAAUAAUCAAGAGACGUUUAAAAAUAUUCUUAAUUUGAAAAAAGGUGGUUUUCACACUAUAAAGUAAUUAUACACUUUUAUACUUCUACAAGAAAACGAGAAAAAAUAUGGCAGAAAUUCUCAAGUUUAUUUAUGUUAUGAUUAUUUAUCUUUUCAUAUUUAUUGUUGUAACUGACCGUAAGUCGAUUUAUGCAAUUUUUUUUUUCAAGGUUCAUUCUUUAUCUUAUACACAAUAUUAAAGUUUUUUCUUUUUUGACAUCACAGGAGUUUUUUUAUGCGACAAUGAUAAAGAUUGUCGUAAUUAUAAAUGUCCCCCUCUUGAUUAUCCAAGGUGCAUAGGAAUUAUGUGUCGAUGUAUGGAAACUAGCGAUUAAUUUUAAAAAUAAUUUCGUGGUACUUUCAAGAUAUUAUAGUUGUAUUUACAAUUAUUUGAUAUUCUCAAAAGCAUUAUGCAAGUGUUGUUAUAUUUGUUCUCUAUUAGAAGUUAUAGCAUUAUGCAUUAUUGUUGCUAGUGAAAUCUGGUUUAUCUUUAUAUUUUUUUUAUUUUUUUUUACGAUUUCACCUAUGUAAUUUGAAGAUUGAUUGAACAAG